ACAAAAAGAAAAUAAAUGAAUAAAUAAAAAAUAGAAAAAUUGUUUAAUUUAAUUGUGCUCCUAUAAAUCCUUUUUCUUUUCUCCAAAUCUUACCCUACUCCAUUAUCACUUUGGCUUCUUAUUGCAUCUCAUUUUUUCUCUAUUUUUGCAUUAUGAAUUGCAACCUAAGCCUUUCCACAGUUUGUCAGAAGCCAUGCCUUAUAACCUAUGGAGGAUACUACAGGAUGUUCUAGCAUUUUUGUCUGAUCCCCAUAUUAAGCAUGUAUCUGCGUUUGUUUUCAGAGUGAUUUUCACAUUCCCUUAAGCUGGAGCACAGUUUCACAAGCACCAUUUGGGUUCUUUGGAUCACUUUCUUCAAACUAGGAAAACUCUAUCUAGACCACUCCCAUUAUUUUGAAAUUCAUGGAAAACCAAUGACAACAGGAUUACUGAUUGAUUUUGCAGUUGUGUUUUUCUCAAUUUUAUAGUUAUUUUAUUGGGUGUGUUUUUAUAGAUAUUUUAUUGCGUGGUUGGAAGAAAUUUUAUUAAAGGCUCUUAGAUAAAGCCCAUUCUAAAUCAGAAGCUACCUAAACAAAAUGUCUGCAUUUUUGAAUGACCAAUUUUAGCAGUAUCUACCAAGAUAUUUCUGUUGAGGAGGAAUAUUUGCACUGUCAGAAUUUUAUCUGAAAUUCCUGUACUCCAGAGUCAGAAAAAAGAAUGCCAAGCAAUAGUUUACAUUUCAUAGGAUAAUUAAAGCAAGAAAUAUGGUAUUUCUUCACAAAAAAAAAAAAUUAUGAAGAUAGAUAGUGGCCUGGAAACCAGUGAGGCUGAUUGCAAAAUGAAUAUUUAAAAGCCCUUCUGAUUUAAUGUGCUCUUGUUUCCAUUCCCUUUAUUCUUUACAAAGAACAAAGAGCCCUCUGUAAAUAUUGCUUUUAGGAUUAUCAGGCUUUAGUUUUCAAUUUUAUCCAAAGGCCAUAAUUUAAACCAUAUUAUUGGCUUUAGAAAUGUAAACAGUGAUAGAACCCUUUUCCUUUAACUAAUAGGAAUGCCAAAGAAAUUAGAGUCAAUUAAAUAAUUGCUUAUUAACCUAAUGUAUUACUGCUGUGAGAUGUGUUGUGGCCCAUCCAGCCAGGAGGGGAGCUAGGAAGGAACAAAACUACAUCAAUGUAAAGAAUAUAGAAACCAGUAUAUUAUAAAAACUUGAUCCAAUGAAGAGUAAAACAUUUACGGAAAUUUUUAUGUAUCAGUUUCAUUCUUUAUAGUUUAACUAUGGUUGAAGAUGGGAAAAUCCUAAGAGAUUGUAAAGGUUUUCAAUUGAUUAAGAUGAUCUUUAAUGUGGACAGAUUAUGUCUACAGGUUAGGUUUAAGCUGACUUUUCUCAUCCCUCUGCCUUCCAGACACCAGCUAUAGGGAACUGCCUUCAUCUCUAUAACCUGAAAUCUAGUUGCAUUUCUUUAAUAGCUCUUCAUUAGUGACACUCCACUGUUGACAGGAUGACAUUUUAAACUCUUCAUCAAUAUGCACAAAUCUGUUUAUGAUUCGAUUCUUGCUUCCAUAUCCAGUCUCAUCUUCCACCAUGCUUCUUCCAUCCUACCCUUCAGUAAUAGCUCUCCCCGCAGACUCUGCUGCCUCACAUUCAUCCUUCCUUGUACAUGUCAGAGAAUAGAUAAUGAUUCCCCUUGAAUUACUGAUCUUUCAGGAUAUGUUAAGUAUUCCAUCUUUCACCAAGUUUUCUUUGUCCACUUCUGUCUCCAGAUUUCUCCUCUGCUUCCCUGGGCAAGUUAUCCCAUUUUUUCCUUUAUGGUGAUACAGAGGUGUGUGAUUACUGACUUCUAAAGCUAUAUACCUUGAGAGAUUAUUUGCAAUCAUUUUUUAAACUUCUGUAUUCCCUACCAUGUUUUCCCCUGCCUUUUUGAGGGCAGGACUGUAUUUAUUAUCUCAGUGAUUUCAGAACCUGGUGAAAGACCUGUUAAUACCACUCAGCAAAUACUUGGGAAUGAACAAACGAAUAGGUAGGUAGCACUAUGGUAUCUCUACGAAGGUGUAGAGCAGGUUCUCAGGACUUAAAAGCUUUUUUGGAGCUCAGCUCUCUCUUGCUCUGCCCCAGGUGUUCUCUUAUACCACAGUACAGAAUAGUAAGAAGAACUUUGUUUUAUUUUUUUCUGACCCAAGGUCAGACUAUACCAAAAGUAUGGUCAGAGUUGGCUACUUUGGAAAACAUUAUGGAUGUUAUUGAUGGAAGGAAGGAAGGAAGGGAAGAAAGAAGCAAGGGGAAAAGGAUUACCAUGCAUUGGGUUCUAUAUUAUCCCUUCCAUGUAUAUUAUCUAAUUUAAUCCUAAAACAUCCAUUCAGAUAAUAAAUAUUAUUAUCCCCAUUUUCAGAAUUAAGUAAACCAGGAUUUUUUUUCCUUUAUGGCCACACCCACAGUAUAUGGAAGUUUCCAGCUAGAAGGCGCAGCUGCUGGCCUGUGCUACAGCCACAGCAACGCCAGAUCUGAGAUGCAUCUGUGACCUCUACCACAGCUUGUGGCAACACUGGAUCCUUAACCCACUGAGCAGGGUCAGGGAACAAUCCUAUAUCCUCAUGGAUACUAGUCAGGUUCUUAACCCACUGAGCCACAGUGGGAGUUCUAUAAACUGGGAUCUUUAAAUGUAAUUUGUACCAGGCCACAUAGCUGUCCAGUGGCCAAGCUAGAAUUUAAAUUUAGAAUGAGUCAACUCAGUUAAAACUCAGUGCUUUUCUUAGAAUAUGGGAACUAAAUAAGAUUUAAUUCUACAAAAUGACCCAUCCUGUGAUUAUCCUAAACUCAAUGCAGUUUUGUUUUUCAACAUUAAACAGUAGGAUUCAGAAAUAUUUGCCUAUCAUUUCAAUCAUACUAAGCUUCAUUUGGUAGUCAUUCAUUUGUUGGACGUUAACUAAGCCCAAGCACCCAGCUGAAUACUUGGAAUACAAGUAUGCCUAGGACGUAGUCCCUGAACUCAAGGUUUUUUUGCACUUUUCUUAGAAGAAUUCUCACUCUGGAAAGUCAACUUACUUGCCAGGUUUAUGGUUUCUCUACUUUCUCUUCUGCCUAUAGACAAAUUCACCAGCCACAUAAAUAUGCACCUCAUACCCUUAAUAUUAGAAUGUUUUAUCUGCUUUCUGUUCUUAGUCUGAAAGGAAGGCUUACUAUCUCUCCAUGGUCAACAAAAAUCUCCUGUUCUUUACAUAUGAAAAUAUUAAAGACACUGAGGUGCAUAUUUUUGUACUAUUAUCAUAUAAAUUAUAUUAAAGAGGAGUGAAAUUAAUGUUACAAACUACUAAUAUGUGUGUGUACAUAUAUAUAAUAUAUAUAUAUACAUGUCCAUGUUUAUGCAAAUAGUCUUUAUAAAGUAUUAGACUAAAUGCACAAAUUAGAGGAAACAAUCUUUAGUAUCUCAUUAAGUCAUUUUAUCUUAAGUUUGUAUCCCUUUAAAGCAUCCUUUUAUCUUAACUUUGUACCUUCUGUAUUUUGUCUGUGAAGAAUCCACAACUCAGAUUGACUUCCCCAAAUGAAAACCUGGUAAUUGGGUAUCAGUUAUCUAUUGUGUAACAAACCACCUUAAAACUUAAUGAAUUAAAUUACACCAUUUUUUAUUUCAUACUACUCUCUAGAAGUUCUGCUUGUACUGCCUAGACCCACUGAUGUGGCUGCUGACACUGUUAGCUAUCUGGGUGGGCGGGGCCACUCUAUACAUGUGGCCUUUCAUACCAGUCUUCUUCAUGGUAGUUUCAGGGUUCCAAGAGGACAGCCCCAAUACAAAAGUAUUUACCAAGGUUCCACUCUCAUUAUAUUUACUGAUGUACUUUGGCCAAAGCAAGUCAUGUAGCCAAGCCUAGAGUCAGUGUGGGAUCCUGGGAGUUGUGAUUAAUUGAGAGACCAUUAAUAUAACAAUCUACCACAUUCAGUAUCUUUUAUUAAAGGAAUAAAGUAUAGUUGAUUUACAGUGUUGUGCCAAUUUCUACUGUACAGCAAAGUGACUCAGUCAUAUAUAUAUAUAUUAAAAAGAAUGUGUGUAUAUGUAUAUUCUUUUUAAAAUAAUAUCUUCCAUCAUGGUCUAUCCCAGGAGAUUGGAUAGAGCUCCCUGUGCUAUUCAGUGGGACCUUACUGCGUAUCCAUUCUAAAUGUAAUAGUUUUUGUCUACUAACCCCAAAUUUUCAGUCCAUCCCACACCCUCCACCCUGCCCCUUGGGUCUAUUCUCUUAUGUCUGUUUCUUUUUGUAGAUAGGUUUAUUUCUGUUAUAUUUUAAAUUCCACAUAUAAGCGAUACUGUAUGGUAUUUGUCUUUCUCUUUCUGAAUUACUUCAUUUAGUAUGAGAAUCUCUAGUCACAUCCAUGAUGUUGCAAAUGGCAUUAUUUUGUUCUUUUUUAUGGCUGGGUAUUAUUCCAUUGUAUAUAGGCACCAUAUUUCCUUAAUCCAUUCUUCUGUCAAUGUACAUUUUUGUUUUCAUGUCUUGGCUAUUGUGAAUAGUGCUGCAGUGAACAUAAGGGUGCAUGUAUCUUUUUGAAUUACAGGUUUGUGUGGAUAUAUGCCCAGGAGUGGUAGUUCUAUGUUUACUUUUCUGAGGAACUUUCAUACUGUUUUCCAUAAUGGCUGUACCUAUUUACAUUUCCACCAACCCUGUAGGAGGGUCCUCUUUUCUCCAUACCCUUCUCCAGCAUUUGUUAUUUGUAGACUUAUUGAUGAUAGCCAUUCUGACUGGUGUGAGGUGAUACCUCAUUGUAGUUUUGAUUUGUAUUUCUCUAGUGAUUGGUAGUGUUGAUCACUUUUCAUGUGCCUACUAGCCAUCAGUAUGUCUCUUUGGAAAAAUGUCUGUUAGGGUCUUCUAUCCUUUUUUCAAUUGGGUGGUUUUUUGUUGUGGUGGUUGAGUUGUACUGAGUUGUUUGUACAUUUUGGAGAUUAAGCCCUUGUCCAUUGCAUCAUUUACCACUAUUUUCUCCCAUUCCAUAGAUUGUCUUUUCAUUUGUUUUAAUGGUUUCCUUUGCUGUGAAAAAUCCUAUAAGUUUGAUUAGGUCCCAUUUGUUUAUUUCUGUUUUUAAUUUAUAUUGCCUUGGGAGACUAACGUAAGGAAACAUUUGCAUGGUUUAUGUCAUAGAAUGUUUUGCCUAUGUUCUCCUCAAGGAGUUUUAUGGUGUCAUGUCUUAUGUCUAAGUCACUGAGCCAUUUUGAAAUUAUUUUUGUGUAUAGUGUGAGGGUGUGCUCUAAUUUCAGUUACUUACUUAUUUAUUUAUUUAUUUAUUUAUUUUCUCUGACUUACUUGACAUUUUUAUUUAUUUACUUAUUUUUAACUUUUUUUUACUACUCAAUGAAUUUAUCACACCUGUAGUUGUAUAAUGAUCAUAAAAAUAUGAUUUCGCAGGAUUUCCAUCCCACAGCCCAAGAACACCCCCCACCCCCCAAACUGUCUCCUCUGGAGACCAUAAGUUUUUCAAUGUCUGUGAGUCAGCAUCUGUUCUGCAAAGAAAUUCAGUCUGUCCUUUUUUCAGAUUCCACAUGUCAGUGAAAGCAUUUGAUGUUGGUGUCUCAUUGUAGGGCUGACUUCACUAAGCAUGAGAGUUUCUAGGUCCAUCCAUGUUGCUAAGAAUGCCGGUAUUUCGUUCUUUUUAAUGUCUGAGUAAUAUUCCAUUGUGUACAUGUACCACAUCUUCUUGAUCCACUCCUCUGUCAAUGGACAUUUAGGUUGUUUCCAUGUCUUGGCUAUUGCAAAUAGUGCUGCAAUGAACAUUGGAGUACAUGUGUCUUUGCGAGUCAUGGUUUUCUCUGGAUAGAUGUCCAGGAGUGGGAUUGCUGGAUCAAGUGGUAGUUCUAUUUUGAGUUUUCUGAGGAAUCUCCAUACUGCUUUCCACAGUGGUUGUACCAAUUUACAAUNCUUUCUCCAUUCAACACUAAACCAGCCUUACAACAAAUACUAUCGUUUCAUUGAUUUAUAUGCAGUUGUUCAGUUUUGCCUAUACUACUUGCUGAAGAGUCUGUCUUUUUCUCAUUUUAUAUUCUUGCCUUCUUUGUUGAAGAUUUAUUGUAGAUAUCUGGGUUUAUUUCUGGGCUCUCUAUUCUGUUCCAUUGAUCUGUAUAUUUGUUUUUGUACCAGUACCACCCUAUCUUGAUUACUGUGGCUUUAUGAUAUUGUCUAAAGUCUGGGAGAGUUAUGCCCCCUGCUUUUUACACCCUCAGGAUUGCUUUGGCAAUUCUGGGUCUUUUGUGGUUCCCUAUAAAUUUGUGGAUUGUUUGUUGCAGUUCUG
rnacentral:lncRNA from 1 species